AAGUCUUACGUAGGGCACCCCCACCACCUCACUUAUACGACCAUCCAUUCGAGGCUUGACACGUGAUAUUUUUUCCACGUCAGAUUGCUGGGAAAAAAGCUCCAAAAUUUCAAAGUGAAAUUCAUUAUCCCGCCAAGAGUUUUACCUUGAUUAAAAUUUCUCGAUAGUUGAGUAAGUAAGGAAGAACAAACGCUGCCGUCUCUUUUCUCCCACUCAAUUCAUCAUCUCCCCUUCUUUUCCAUUCCAUUUCCAGAUUCACCAAAAUCAACCUUUCUCGACCUGACAGUUCAUUCUCAACGGUGCUUUUUGUUGCGUUUCAAUCUGGGCAUUUCAGUAGAGCGCGUGGCAAGGAACUAGGGGACUUAUGACGCGGGGAAGAAGGAGGCGGUGAUGGUGGAGGCGGUGAUGGAGGAGAUGGUGAGCGUUCAAAAAGCUUUGUGAGAUAUGGUUUGGACAAGAUGAAAUUACAUGUAGGGGAGGCUCACAUGGAAGGUUGAUAGUUUUGGGACAGCUAACCUUGUCGAUGCAUGCUGUAAAGUUGGUGUGAAGAGGUUAUUCUAGUCAGUUCCAUUUUAGUCAAUGGAGCAUCAAUGGGGCAGAUUCUCAAUCCAGUUUACAUAUUUCUUAAUGGCAAAUCUUCAGGCAAAGAAUUAUAUCAGGAAGUCUGGUAUAAACUAUAAAUUACACAAUAAUAAGGCCUGGUGGGUUGAGAAAUGAACCUUCAACAGGAAAUCUUGUAAUGGAACCAAAGGACACUAUCUGGCGGCACCAUCUCCAGAGGUCUGGUGGCGGAAGUAGCUAUUGAUUCAUUAGUCACUCCUGAAGCAUCUUACAAGGUAGUGGAGAUAGUUUCCAGUGCUGAUGCCCCAAGCGUUAAGCAAGGAUGACCUCUAAGUUUGAUCCCAGAAAAUUAUGUUGACAGAUUAGUAUCCCCAUUUUUAGUAGCCUUUUGAUGGCAUAUAUGUGUUUGCCGAUAUUCCUUGUAAAUCAAUAUUAUACCUCUUUUCAUUAAAUUG